GCUUGGAUAGCUCAAUCGGUAGAGCGCAGGUCUCAUGCAAUGACAUGACCACACUUCGUGGGUAAACCUGAGGUCGUGAGUUCGAUUCUCACUCUGAGCA